GAGUCUGGACAAAGCAAUGCGACCAUAAAUCUUGGUUCCAAGGAUACUGACAACAACGACGAAUCCUCUCCUGAUUUUGGAAUCUUGCGUGAUGCUAUCCAUGAUUCCAGUCCGGUAAGACUUCCUAAUCUGUCUCCUAUCCGAGAAAUGGAUGCUCCUGAUGAUACAAGCAUCCGUUCGGAGCAAGAUUUGCUCGGUAAGGACAUUACUACUAAUCCUAUCCCAAAAGAGCCUUCUUCGUUUCAACUUCCGCCACAUUCAGAACCUCCGAAUU
rnacentral:lncRNA from 1 species